rnacentral:piRNA from 1 species
AGGAAAAAAAGAACCAUUUGGCUAUAUAGG